ensembl:lncRNA
GGCAAAAACUUAACCUAUUUCUUUUCUCCAGCGGCUCCUGUCAUGCAACAAACUCCUUUCUGGAGAAAAUAGCAAGCCAUUAGCUGCCUGAGCAGAGACUUCCUGCCCGGAGGACAUGGGGAGAAGGAAGGCUCUAAGUGGAUCCUCUGCAGCAGAAAAUCUCGUUUAGAAUAAUAACCCAAAGUUGUGUCUCCUGAGAGGCUGUGCAUAUGCUGGAGGCUUUGCAGGUCACAAUGAAGUGAUAUUUCAGUUUUAUUUCCAGCAACCUGAAUGAACCAAGUCCUUUGAAGCUCACCCAGUGCAGCAUGUCCUCUAAAUAUUGCAUCAUUUGUAUAGGUCUUUGCUGCAUCUUCAUCAGCCUUUCUACAUCCUUGAAACUAUACACACAGCUGGGAUGGGAUGUACCUGGCACAGUAUCAUCUCUACACCUGUGGCCCUGGGCUCCUCAGAGUGAUGGGAGAAAGGAACAGUUGUCUUUGUUUUGAGGUACCCCACAGCCCACGUUAGGAUGCAGUGUGUCACUUCCCACGUGCACCUCAAGUGGUCAAAAGGAAAGCAGGACAGUCUGGUUCAGAUGCCUGUGUUCACUUCUAGCCAGGCUUGUGAUUUUGCCUUGUUAUGUUCUCACAGUUCACCUGUGCGUGCGCCAAAAUUGUCAUUUAGAACAUGGUAACUUCUGCGUGCCCAGACAAAUUAAAGGCAGAGCUGUUAAAGUAGCUACAUAAACACUUGAUUUUACAAUCUGUGGUUGGAGUAAUGACUGGUAAAACACCUGCAUCUGAGGUACAGCGCAAUAAAACACGGAAUCACGG